rnacentral:rRNA from 1 species
AUUGAACGCUGGCGGCAGGCCUAACACAUGCAAGUCGAGCGGAUGAAGGGAGCUUGCUCCUGGAUUCAGCGGCGGACGGGUGAGUAAUGCCUAGGAAUCUGCCUGGUAGUGGGGGAUAACGUCCGGAAACGGGCGCUAAUACCGCAUACGUCCUGAGGGAGAAAGUGGGGGAUCUUCGGACCUCACGCUAUCAGAUGAGCCUAGGUCGGAUUAGCUAGUUGGUGGGGUAAAGGCCUACCAAGGCGACGAUCCGUAACUGGUCUGAGAGGAUGAUCAGUCACACUGGAACUGAGACAGGGUCAAGACGCCUACGGGAGGCAGCAGUGGGGAAUAGUGGACAAAGGGCGAAAGCCUGAUCCAGCCAUGCCGCGUGUGUGAAGAAGGUGUUCGGAUUGUAAAGCACGUUAAGUUGGGAGGAAGGGCAGUAAGUUAAUACCUUGCUGUUUUGACGUUACCAACAGAAUAAGCACCGGCUAACUUCGUG